rnacentral:rRNA from 1 species
UAGGGAAUCUUCCGCAAUGGACGCAAGUCUGACGGAGCAACGCCGCGUGAGUGAAGAAGGAUUUCGGUUCGUAAAACUCUGUUGUUAGAGAAGAACAGCGCAUAGAGUAACUGUUAUGCGUGUGACGGUAUCUAACCAGAAAGCCACGGCUAACUACGUGCCAGCAGCCGCGGUAAUACGUAGGUGGCAAGCGUUGUCCGGAUUUAUUGGGCGUAAAGCGAGCGCAGGCGGUCAAUUAAGUCUGAUGUGAAAGCCCCCGGCUCAACCGGGGAGGGUUAUUGGAAACUGGUUGACUUGAGUGCAGAAGAGGAGAGUGGAAUUCCAUGUGUAGCGGUGAAAUGCGUAGAUAUAUGGAGGAACACCAGUGGCGAAGGCGACUCUCUGGUCUGUAACUGACGCUGAGGUUCGAAAGCGUGGGUAGCAAACAGG